AACGAACGCUGGCGGCGUGCCUAACACAUGCAAGUCGAACGGGACGUUCGGGUCUAGGGGCGCACGGGGGGGUAACGAGUGGGAACCUACCCGUAGGUUCGGUGUAACUGACCGUGGGGUAUGCUAAUACAGGUUGAUCUAAUCGCGCCUAAGAUUUAUCGCCGUGGGGUGGGCCCGGGUUGGAUUAGCUAGUUGGUAGGGUAAAAGCCUACCAUGGCGACGAUGCAUAGCUGGUCUGAGAGGAUGACAAGCCAGGCUGGAACUAAGACACGGCCCAGUCUCGGACGGAAGGGAGCAGUGGGGAGUAUUGGGCACGGAGCGAAAGCCUGGUCCAGCAACGCGGCGUAAGUGAUGAAGGCGUUAGGGUUGUACAGCUCUCUGACACGGGACGAGAAUGACAGUAACGGGAGAAGAAGCACCGGCUAACUCCGUG
rnacentral:rRNA from 1 species